UACGUAGGGUGCAAGCGUUGUCCGGAAUUAUUGGGCGUAAAGAGCUCGUAGGCGGUUUGUCGCGUCUGCUGUGAAAACUCGGGGCUUAACCCCGGGCCUGCAGUGGGUACGGGCAGACUAGAGUGCGGUAGGGGAGACUGGAAUUCCUGGUGUAGCGGUGAAAUGCGCAGAUAUCGGGAGGAACACCUGAGGCGAAGGCGGGCUACUGGGCCGAUACUGACGCUGAUGCGCGAAAGCCAGGGGAGCGAACGGG
rnacentral:rRNA from 1 species